UGUUGAUGAACAACAGUUAGUUUCUAUGGGUAAACAGCCCUGACCAUCCCAGAGUGGAUCUGCAUUUCCUCCUUCACAAUAAUAACUUUUUCCAACAAAUGAAGGAACUUUUUGAAUCAAAAAAGAAAUGGUAUUAGCAAUAAGAAACAAAA